UACGGGGGGGAGCAAGCGUUGUUCGGAUUUACUGGGCGUAAAGGGCGCGUAGGCGGCCACCGCAAGUCGACUGUGAAAUCUCCGGGCUUAACCCGGAAAGGUCAGCCGAUACUGCGGGGCUAGAGUGCAGAAGGGGCAACUGGAAUUCUCGGUGUAGUGGUGAAAUGCGCAGAUAUCAGGAGGAACACCGGUGGCGAAGGCGGGUCUCUGGGCAGUUACUGACGCUGAGGAGCGAAAGCAUGGGGAGCGAACGGG
rnacentral:rRNA from 1 species